rnacentral:rRNA from 1 species
GACAGAGGGUGCAAACGUUGUCCGGAAUUACUGGGCGUAAAGAGCUCGUAGGUGGUUUGUCGCGUUGUUCGUGAAAACUCACAGCUCAACUGUGGGCGUGCGGGCGAUACGGGCAGACUUGAGUACUGCAGGGGAGACUGGAAUUCCUGGUGUAGCGGUGGAAUGCGCAGAUAUCAGGAGGAACACCGGUGGCGAAGGCGGGUCUCUGGGCCGUAACUGACGCUGAGAAGCGAAAGCGUGGGGAGCGAACAGG